AGAGUUUGAUUCUGGCUCAGAACGAACGCUGGCGGCGUGGAUAAGACAUGCAAGUCGAACGCUGAUUAUAGGGUAGCAAUAUUCUGUAGUCGGAGUGGCGAAAGGGUGCGUAACACGUGGGUAAUUUGCCGUGAAGUUGGGGAUAACUCGCUGAAAGGCGAGCUAAUACCGAAUGUGGCCUAACAAGGCUAAAGUUGGGGACCGUAAGGCCUGACGCUUCAUGAUAAGCCCGCGGCCUAUCAGCUAGUUGGUGAGGUAACGGCUCACCAAGGCUAAGACGGGUAGCUGGUCUGAGAGGACGACCAGCCUCACUGGAACUGAGACACGGUCAGACACCUACGGGUGGCAGCAGUCGAGAAUUUUUCUCAAUGGGGGAAACCCUGAAGGAGCGACGCCGCGUGGGGGAUGAAUGGCUUCGGCCCGUAAACCCCUGUCAUUUGCGAACAAACCUUUCGGUUUAAUAUGCCGAAAGCUGAUAGUAGCGAAAGAGGAAGGGACGGCUAACUCUGUGCCAGCAGCCGCGGUAAUACAGAGGUCCCAAGCGUUGUUCGGAUUCACUGGGCGUAAAGGGUGCGUAGGUGGUAGGGUAAGUUUGACGUGAAAGCUCCGAGCUUAACUCGGAAAUUGCGUUGAAUACUAUCCCACUAGAGGGUUGUAGGGGGGACUGGAAUUCUUGGUGUAGCAGUGAAAUGCGUAGAUAUCAAGAGGAACACCAGUGGCGAAGGCGAGUCCCUGGACAACUCCUGACACUGAGGCACGAAAGCUAGGGGAGCAAACAGGAUUAGAUACCCUGGUAGUCCUAGCUGUAAACGGUGCACAUUUGCUGUGAGCGGAAUCGACCCUGCUCGUGGCGAAGCUAACGCGAUAAAUGUGCCGCCUGGGAAGUACGGUCGCAAGAUUAAAACUCAAAGAAAUUGACGGGGGCCUGCACAAGCGGUGGAGUAUGUGGCUUAAUUCGAUUCGACGCGAAGAACCUUACCUGGCCUUGACAUGCAGGGAUUAUUCGGGUGAAAGCCUGGAAAUUGCCGCAAGGUGUAACCUGCACAGGUGCUGCAUGGCUGUCGUCAGCUCGUGUCGUGAGAUGUUGGGUUAAGUCCCGCAACGAGCGCAACCCCUGUGUCCAGUUGCCACUCCUACUUCGGUAGGAAGCACUCAGGACAGACUGCCUCGCUUCAACGAGGAGGAAGGUGGGGAUGACGUCAAGUCAGUAUGGCCCUUACGGCCAGGGCUGCACACGUACUACAAUGCCCGGUACAGAGGGAAGCAAGACCGCAAGGUGGAGCAAAUCCUCAAAACCGGGCCCAGUUCAGAUUGUCGUCUGCAACUCGACGACAUGAAGCCGGAAUCGCUAGUAAUGGCGCAUCAGCUACGGCGCCGUGAAUACGUUCCCAGGCCUUGUACACACCGCCCGUCACAUCAUGAAAGCCGAUUGUACCCGAAGUCGCCCCUCAUAAGGUGCCGAAGGUAUGGUUGGUGAUUGGGAUGAAGUCGUAACAAGGUA
rnacentral:rRNA from 1 species